CAGAACAGCUGAACAAGGCCACAAUUUGCCGCACAAUAAGGAGUGUGUGUCUGGCUAUCAAAGCAUUAGCAGAUGUCUUCAUCUCCUUCCCUGGCCACAGAAGACUCUGUGACAUCAAAGAGGAGUUCUAUAGGAUUGCAGGUUUCCCCAAUGUCAUUGGUGCAGUGGACUGCACACACAUAAGGAUAAAAGCCCCCUCAGGUGCCCAUGAGGCCGAUUUUUGUGAAUAGGAAAUCCUUUCACAGCAUUAAUGUUCAGAUGGUCUGCAAUGCUGACUGUGUGAUCAGCAAUGUUGUGGCAAAAUGGCCUGGCUCAGUCCAUGACUCCAGAAUCUUUCGGGCCUCUGAAAUCUAUCAGUGCCUAUCA